rnacentral:lncRNA from 1 species
GCCGAUACCAAAGGCUCUAGGGUCCCUUGUGCCAGUGGUGACAUUUCAAGAGUCCUUUGCAAAGGGAAAUCCCCUAGUGUAGAUGGUGAAGAAUGCAGAUUCUGUUUAGAAGGUGUGUAAAUGGGCAGUGGUCCUUGGGAAGUUACCAAAAGUCCUAAGGCCUGUGUAGGAAAUGGAUAACGUUUCUGUGCAUUUUGUGCAGAAUGUGAGUCUUUUCCACCUUCCUUGGUGGGUAGCAAAGACCCUUGAGAUCCUUCAGAAGAUGAGGAAGAUACCAAAGCCUCUGUAGCAAGAGCAGGUAAGGAAAUUCUCACAGGAUCGGGGCCAGACAGCAUAUUUCUUGGAAAACCUGAGACAUUUUUCA